UAUAUUUUACUUUUUCUUUCUAGCAACAUCUGUAAAUUAAUUUGGGAGUAGGGCUUUGAAGUAAAACUGAGCAGGAGGACAGCUUGCCAUAGCGGUCUUCAMCUUACGCCGGCAGCUUAAAGCGAGCGAAGCGCUGGCAGUCGCUGUGGUGCUCUGCCUUGCUGCACAAAAUAGCUCUGAGCAGCUGAACCAACUUUGCUGGCUGAACGUGUCCUCUCAGCGUGUUGGAGCAACCAGCCCGGUCCUGUUCUCCUUCU